rnacentral:rRNA from 1 species
ACGGAGGAUUCGAGCGUUAUCCGGAUUCAUUGGGUUUAAAGGGUGCGUAGGUGGAUAUAUAAGUCAGCGGUGAAAAGGAGACGCUCAACGUUUCCCGUGCCGUUGAUACUGUAUGUCUAGAAUUUUGAUGAGGUAGGCGGAAUGCGCAGUGUAGCGGUGAAAUGCAUAGAUAUUGCGCAGAAGGCCAAUUGCGAAGGCAGCUUACUAAUCAACAAUUGACACUGAGGCACGAAAGUGCGGGGAUCAAACAG